rnacentral:lncRNA from 1 species
CCGGGGCGGUGCGGAGGGCCGGGGCAGCGCGGCGAAGCUCUUGGCAUGCCUGGGGGCCAGGUACCUCCAAACCACGUCAGGCCAGAGUCUCAGCUUACUGCAACGCAAAAGAUGUGCCUUUGUGUCCAGAGUUGGUUCUUUCCGGUGGGUCCUUGGUCUCGCUGACUUCAAGAAUGAAGCCACGGAUCUUCGCGGUGUUACAGCUUUUAAAGGUGGCACGGACCCAAAGAGUGAGCAACAGCAAAAGAACAAAGCUUCCACAGCAUGAAAAUUGACCCCAGAGGGUUGCCGGCUGAUAGCUGCGGGGGGGGGGGGGGGGUGCGGGGAAGGGAAGGUGGUGGUGGUGGUGGCCAGCUUUUAUUCCCUUAUUUGUCCCCACCCACAUCCUGCUGAUUGCCCAUUUUACAGAGAGCUGAUUGGCCCAUUUUACAGAGUGCUGACUGGUCCAUUUUACAGUGCUGAUUGGUCCAUUUUACAAACCUCUAGCUAGCCACAGAGCACUGAUUGGUGCGUUUUACAAUCCUAGCUACAGAGUGCUGAUUGGUGCGUUUUACAAUCCUAGCUACAGAGUGCUGAUUGGUGCAUUUUACAAUCCUCUUGUAAGACCAAAGUUCUCUGAGUCCCCACCUGACCCAGAAAUCCAGCUGGCUUCACCUCUCACCUUCAGUGGGGGACGAAGGGGGGUGUGGUGUGAUACAACAGCUUCGUGACUUCAGCUAGUUGGUUUGCAAAGUGCCUGGGAUAGGAAGUGAGGAGCAGGCAGCAGGUGCUGGACCCAGGGAGCACAGCGGGUUCUCUUGCCUCUCUCCAAUACCCUAAUCCUGGGAAGUCUGAUUGGCUGAGGUAGCAAUGUGGUAGCAGCAGGUACAACACUCAACUAGUGCCACCUGUGUCCUGGGAACUGUUAGAAACUCUUGGUACCCUCUGUCGCAGCUCCCUGCAAUGUAGGUGCCAUCAUCACUGUACUUACAGAUGGGGAAGCAGGGGCGCCCAGUCAGGUUUGAGGGUGCAUAAGGCCCUGCCUCCCAGCCUGGGAAGCUAGGGAAAAGAGGGGCCCAUGGGCAGAUUUCUUAGGCCUGUCCUCUUUGGAAGAACGGAGAACAUUUACUAAUUACCAUUCGCUAAUUACCAUUCAGGCAAUUUCCAUAAUUGUCUCAAGAAAAGAUUUGAUCAGCCAAACUGUGAGCAGAAACAGCCUCGGCGGAGGGAAAGCCAAAGGCACAGCACGGGGUGCAGAAACCAAUGGAAACAGACCACACAGGCCACGGGGAGACCCGGAACGUCUGGGUCCAGUCUAGGCCCCUCCCCAUUCUAUAGAAAGGGAAGCUGAGGCGCAUGGAGGCCACGUGGCCCGACCCAGCUCCCAUGGAAAGUCUGUGAGCAAAACGGCAGAUUGUGCAUUGUGUGGGUUGUGCGCCACGUGGAGACAUUGGUAGCGUUGAAAUCCAUCAGGGCACAUUAUGGGGUUCGCUCUUGAAAACCCUCCCAAAGACAAUGCACCGUUCCUUGAAGCUAAUUGCUUUAGUUUGAGGUAAUAUUCGUCACAGAAACACCAGCAGUAACCUUUGGUCUUGGCAAAUUCUCCCCUCAAUCACAUAACGUAAACAGCGAUAAACGAGGGCUUUUUAAGGCUUUCUUCAUAAUGCGUUACACAUGCAUUUGUUACUGAAUCUGCGUGAGCUCCAAGCCCUGAAAUCUGAGCUCAGCUGGGAGGUGAGUGGGCUGGUCCGCCUGCGGUGGGGUCAGCGUCCCCAGGAGACACCCAGCCCAACCGGCCGGGCCCCUUCCCCCACUCCUCCUCCUCCCCUCCCUUCUCCCCACUCCUCCACCUUCUCACCAGCUUCUCUCUCUCCCCUUUCUCUCUAGCCCUUUCUUCUACUCUGUCUCCCUUUGUCUCACCCUGCAUCUCUUCUUUCUUUUUUCUGUCUUUCACUCUCUGGACCUGCUUGUGGUUCUUUUACUUUGUCAUCUUGGCCUCAGUUUCUGUGUGUCGGUGUUCUGCUCUCUGAUUUUCUCUGUAUUUCUCUCCUUGUACGAUUCUCUGUCUCUCCUUGUCUGACUGAUUCUCCCUCUUUGUCUCUUCAUCUCUCUCUCUCAUCUCUGUCUCUCCAACUGUCCCCUUACACAUACCCUGCAAAGAGCCUGGCUCCCCCUCCUCCUUCCUUUUCUACCCAGGGGAUUCAGAGGAGUAUUCACCUAGGGGUGGGGGAUUGCAGCAGUGGAGGAUGAACAAAGCAUUUGGGAGGCUCACAAGAAGGCUCAUGGUCUUUAGGUGGGGGUGGGAGAAGUCAGGGCGGGCUGCGUGGAGGUGAUGAAGUUCAUUUGAGUGAAGUCUGGGAGGAGCAAUAGGAACCGGCCACAUGGAGGUGGCAAGAACAGCAUUUCACGCAGAGGAACCAUGGACGCGCAGGCACAGGGAUGAAACCCUCUUGCUGUCUGCAUGGCCCUCACUGCACAGAGGAGUGACUGCCCCGAUCUGCUAGGCUAAGAGGAGGGCAAGGCGCAGAGAGGGCAAUGCUGCUAGAGGCAGGCCAUGAGUGGGUGACGGCAGGACCCAGCCAUCUCACCUGACCAGACCUGGGCCUUCCUCACUGAGGCAGCUCUUGUUGGCUUCCCAUCCCCAGGGAUCUCUGCAGGGACCACAGGUGGACAAACAGAAGGCUUCCAGAAAAUGGAAGGCUUUAUAGGGAGGGGAAAUGUUGCAGGACUGUGUUAAAAGUCCAUCUUCUUCCCCAGAAACCUGCCUGGUCCAUCUCAGGCAUGUCAGCCCCACCUCUCCAGGCCACAGGCCUCAGCGUGUCUGCUCCCUUCCCCACUCACCAUUGCCCACUUGGCCUCAGACUCUGCAAUUCUACCAGUCAAGCCCUCAUCCCCAUCCUGGACAGUGGCAGCUGCCGCCUCUCAGGCCCUGGCUCCCCGCACCCCCACAGCCUGUCUCCACUGUGGCCACCCAAGCCUGACCAUCCCUCCUCAGAUUAGACCCUCCAUGGCCAUCUCAGAGAGAAGCCGGCCCCACAACGUCCCAGAGACCAUACCUCUGACCCCUCCGUCACCACCGAAUGUUACCUUUUCAGAGGGGCCUCUUGUGGGCCCAAGGCCCUGCAAUUUUGCUUCACUGUGCCCCCCAACACACACAGAAUUUACUUAUUUUCUUGGGUCACUCUCCACCCCCACUUGACUGGGCUCCUAGAGCUGUGUGUUGCCUGCCCUGCCCUGGUGGGACAGUGUCCCUGAGCUGAGAACCUGACACUGGGGUGGGCACAGGAGGGGCUGCAGGCAGGGGAGCUGCAGGGUGCAGGGACAUGGUGCAGGCAUGGGGGCCCCAGGCCCUUCCAAGGGACGCUCCUGUCCCCCAGGUGCCCAGGCCCUCCAGGGAGGCACUCUCCACUUGCUGGGCUCUGCGAUUCAGACAGCGGGACCCUCAUGGGGCCCUGGCCUCACCUGUGAGCAGCAGGCUCUGGGGCUGCUCCAGGAAUGGAGCCAGAGGCCUCUGCAGGCCCUCGUGCUACUCAAAUAACAAGAACAUUGAACAUUGCAGCAGUGUAACGUAAAAGACCAGUUUCCUUCAGCACCCAUUUUAGUGAGCCUGAAAGAGAUUUCCUGACGGCCCCAGCCCAGAACCAGCCCUACGGUGGAGUGUCAGCAGAACCUCCGUGCUCCUCUCUGGCAGCUCCCUUGAGCCUUCAACCCCCUUGCCCAGUGGGGGCUAGGGAGGGGGAGUUGGGGGCAGGUCCUGCAGCCUCACUCCUGCCUUCUAAGGUCACUUCCAGGAAGCAUCUCCUCUGCGCCCUCCGACCUCCUAAACCCCCAAUCCUGAAUCUAUAUCCCCCACAUCAUGGUGAGGGCGGGUUUGUCAGGUUUUAAAAGCUUUAUUUUUUGGGCUUAGGGAUGUUUGAGUUUUCCUUUAAUUUUUCUUCUUUAAAACAUCCUCAU